UUUGAAAAUUAGUAGAACUUGAUUUUGCUUGUGUGGACUUUUAGGAUGGAUAUCAGGCUUUUAGAGAUCAGAAAUAAAUUUUAGCGACUAGAUUUCUAAUAUUUAAAUGACAAAUUUCAGCUUUCGUCUACAUUUUCUAAAUUCAAUUUCCUGAGCUAGGAAGCUCUGAUUAAGGCGAUUUCAGUUGUGUUGACUCAAGUUUUGGCGUGGCUACGUUUUGGAGUGAUCGG
rnacentral:lncRNA from 1 species